rnacentral:rRNA from 1 species
AGUGAACGCUGGCGGUAGGCCUAACACAUGCAAGUCGAACGGCAGCACAGUAAGAGCUUGCUCUUACGGGUGGCGAGUGGCGGACGGGUGAGGAAUACAUCGGAAUCUACUUUUUCGUGGGGGAUAACGUAGGGAAACUUACGCUAAUACCGCAUACGACCUACGGGUGAAAGCAGGGGAUCUUCGGACCUUGCGCGAUUGAAUGAGCCGAUGUCGGAUUAGCUGGUUGGCGGGGUAAAGGCCCACCAAGGCGACGAUCCGUAGCUGGUCUGAGAGGAUGAUCAGCCACACUGGAACUGAGACACGGUCCAGACUCCUACGGGAGGCAGCAGUGGGGAAUAUUGGACAAGGGGCGAAAGCCUGCUCCAGCCAUACCGCGUGGGUGAAGAAGGCCUUCGGGUUGUAAAGCCCUUUUGUUGGGAAAGAAAAGCAGCAGGUUAAUACCCCGCUGUUCUGACGGUACCCAAAGAAUAAGCACCGGCUAACUUCGU